UUAAAGGAUAUGGAGGUCCUCCUUAAAACCAAUUUUGGCAAGGAAGGUAUGAGAGCAUUGAUUCAAGAUUACUUAAAAGCGCAUGAAACAGCAGCACAUUGUCGUAAUAUGUGAAGUCUUGCUUGAGAAUGCUCCGAGCACCUGGCUGUGGAAGGAAGAAUAGAAAUUGUAAUAAUAAAAUCCUAAUUCUAAUAGAAUACUAACAAUACUCUAAUUAGAUCAUAAUAAUGCUAAACAAGCUUAAUCGAAUUCAAAAAAACCUCAAAGAAAUUUCAAACAAAUAAUAAGAAUUGUUAAAAAAAUAUUAGAAGGAUCACAAAUAUCACUCAAAUAUAUCUCAAUUCAAUCUUAAUUUAAUUCUAGUUAAAAUCCUAUUGAACUUCAUUAAAACUUUGGGCCAAAACUAAUUGAAUCUUAAAUCCUAAUAAAAUCCUAAAUCCUAAAUCAAACCCUAAACAAACCUUAAACCAAACCCCAACCAAAUCCUAAACCAAAUCCUAACCAAAUCCUAAACCAAAUCCUAACUAAAUCCUAAACCAAACCCUAAUCCAAAUCCUAAACCCUAAACCAAACUCUAACCAAACACUAAAUCCUAAAUAAAUCCUAAUCAAAUCCUAAUUCAAAUCCUAAAUCCUAAACCAAAUCCUAAUCCAAAUCCUAAAUACUAAACCCUAAAUCAAACCCUAAUCCAAACCC
rnacentral:lncRNA from 1 species